UACAGAGGUCUCAAGCGUUGUUCGGAAUCACUGGGCGUAAAGGGUGCGUAGGCCGCACGGAAAGUCAGAGGUGAAAUCCCGGAGCUCAACUUCGGAAUUGCCUCCGAUACUCCCGUGCUUGAGGACUGGAGAGGAGUCUGGAAUUCACAGUGGAGCAGUGAAAUGCGUAGAUAUUGUGAGGAACACUAGUGGCGAAGGCGAGACUCUGGACAGUUCCUGACGCUGAGGCACGAAGGCCAGGGGAGCGAAACGGG
rnacentral:rRNA from 1 species